ACGACCUUACUUGAACAGGAUCUGUUCUAUAGGCUCGUACCUCUGUAUUCUUGAUUCCUAAGAAGACAGAAACCCAUGUCUGGUUGAUGAACCAUAACCAUGGAACUAGAGCGUGAUUAACAGAGCUUAUGGUCUUGACGACCAUGGCUCAGUAGAGGAUCGUUGCCAACCCAUCUCAUGGGUCAUGGCAGACA
rnacentral:snoRNA from 1 species